CUCCGCGCGGCGCUGGGCGGCGGCGGCGACCGGGCGAGCGUGGGGAGGGUGGGCACGUGCGCUCGAGCGGGGGGAGGGGUGCGCGCGAUCCGGCGGACCUGCGCGCGCCCAACCGCCGCCACGGCCUCGCGCAGCCCGCGCGGGAGCGGAGCGGGAGGAGGGGGCGGCGCGGCGCAGUGCAGCCGUGGCGGCGGCCUGGGGAGUGCGGUCCCCGGGUUCAGGCUGGAGGCGCUGGGUGAAAUGCGUUCUGCUCCGGAGCUACGAUUCUCGAAGCGGUCGGGGGGCGUUCUUAGUUGGAAAAGCGACGUCUCCCAGAUGAGCUCGGAUGGAUAGCGGUUCUGGGUCGCCCUCUUUGGCCGUGGGCUUGUGGCAAACUCAUUUGCUGCACCCUUUCUCCUCACGCUUAAAGAAGGGGCGUUCCUUUUUUCUUUCUUUCUUCUUCUUUUUUUUUUUUUUUUUUUUUUUUUUUUUUAAAUCGGGACUUUUUUGACCAGCGAGCCUGAAAUGGAGAUGCGGUGCAUCUCACAGUUUGUGUCACUUCCAGGAGGCGAUGAAAGGCAGCGCUUUGUCGCUGCUGUGCAGCGAUACAGGCGGUGAGGUGCUGCUCUCACACAGUCGGCGCUGAGGAACGGCCACCUGAGCGCUGCCCUGUCCGAGUGCACAGGCAGAACUGGAGCUCUGUGACUUCGUGUCUCUCUCAGUAAUAAUCGCUUCUCCUUGUGCAGUCUGAGUCACGGUGUGAAGUCCUCCUGAAACCCACAGCGUCCCCCCUCCACCUGGGCACAAAGCUCCCUGUCUGUAGGUGCGUUUUCCUACAGCCCCUCACGCCCAGCUGAUGGCUGCCCCCCUCUCCUUCCCACAGCGCUGCUCCUAAUGCUUGGCCCGCUCCCUCUUAAAGGUAGGCUGGAAGAUUUCCCUCUGGCUUUUAUUUGGGUUUCUUCAAGCAACCAGAAAAGGGGGAAGGAAAACAAAACCAAAGCAUUUGGGGAAAAGAAACCGACACAACCACACAAAAACACGCCCCAGUGCCCACCACUGUGAAGAGAACUGACUGACCGCAGGCCUCCAGGAGCCUCAAGUAUGCGCUGCUAGUUCCCGGCCAACCAUUUGCUUUGAUGGUGCUGUGAGUGAGCAGAUUGACUUGACCCCUGUUUUGUUUGUGCCUGACAGUUGUUUCCAGGAUGAAGCGACAACAAAUAAAGAGGCAGGCUAAUCAUUGUGGGGCACUGUAAAGUGGAAAUGUAUGCCUAUGAUAAGGGAAAACAGAGUCUCAAAACAAGAGCUAAUUCAAGUCAGAACCUAGGAUCCAAACAUGGAGUGCAUUCGAGGACUUCUGAAAUCCAAACGUUGGUACUCCAGGAUUAAAGAAUAAAGCAGAACAGAGACUAUUCUUUAACGUUUGUCUUUCUGUUCUUCAACCUUUCAUCUUUAGUUGUCUAACUCUUUUUCAGUAGCUGUAGUGGCCACUUAGAUGGUCUCUUCCUUCUAAAGCAAGUCUACAGAAAUCAGAAACUGGUGGACCUAUUCUUUCUGUCAAGAGAUUCCCACUGAAUCUCUGUCACUUGGUGUCAACACUAUUUCACACAUUAGGGCUGUCUUUUGCUGCACCAUUGGCGAUGAAAGUCUGCUUGGAGUGGACGUGCUGCAACAUGGUCUGCAGUGGGACAUGCUACCACCUUGGCUUUGAGAAAUAUCAACAGCAGGAGCUUUUGAUUAAUUGUUAUUAUUUAUACAGUCAUUAUUUAGGAGUAUUUUGCUAGAAUACUGGAAACAUCACUGUUUUAACUUAGUUGGGAAAUUGAACAUUAUGUAAUGUAUUACUGUAUGUACAUUACAAACGUAUUACUGAGGUUUUGAAGUAUUGUAUGGAUGAUUCUCUUCUAUUAAAUACUCUCAUUCAUCAUGUCAUCUUGUCAUUAUACAGAUAGCCUAGUCUAUACUUUUAUUUAUUGCAGAUCUGAUCUUCAGUUUUUCAUGUGUUUCGGUUUUAAAUGGAAACUAGCAAAUGGAAGGUAUGGCCUAUCUUUCGUUGUUGUCUUUCUAAAAGAAUAAUUUGGACCUGAUAAGGGAGGGAACAGCACAGAAAAGUUCUCUCACAGGGACUUGAAAGCCUUUCUAGCACCUGGUGACAUUCUUUAGCAUGUUUUAUUUGGGAGUGGACACAGGGAAAAUGCCUUUGGAGACUUUGUUACAGUUUUGGCCUCUAAGAAGAGAGUGGGUGUUUGACUGCAGGGCGGAAAUGAGAAACAAAGAGCAAGGUUCACCCCUCCCCAGUGCUGUCCCCUCCCAGUGUCUUUGAAGCUGUUCACUUAUUAGAAAUGGUUUUCUUUGGAGUCCUGUGUUGUCAGAGAGAACUAAAACAGUCGUUUGCUGCUCACCAUUCUUCCGCCUUGCUCCCAACGUUGGUCUGUGCCAAACAUGGAGCAGAUGAACGGGGCAGAGGUUACAUGGAGAGUAUUUGCCUGCUCCUUGAGAUAUAAUCCUCCAGCUCUUCUAAUGUACGCUGACUUCUGGGCCAGUCCUGUGAAGAGACGAACAUCAGAGAGCACUAUGGUGGUCUAGAGUAAGGGAGGUGCCCUGGUGUAGAGUCUGGUAUGAGCCUGAAACAAAGCAUGUAAAAUCCUUUCAGCACUUUGAGCUUAAUGUGAAGGUAUUAAGGGUGAAACUGAUGGCAUUAAAAUGCUUUCUGCUUUCUUAGUUACAGAGCAGGCUGUUUGCAGCAAAGAUUAUAG
rnacentral:lncRNA from 1 species